GCUCAGAUUGAACGCUGGCGGCAGGCCUAACACAUGCAAGUCGAGCGGAAACGAGUUAACUGAACCUUCGGGGGACGUKAACGGCGUCGAGCGGCGGACGGGUGAGUAAUGCCUAGGAAAUUGCCCUGAUGUGGGGGAUAACCAUUGGAAACGAUGGCUAAUACCGCAUGAUGCCUUCGGGCCAAAGAGGGGGACCUUCGGGCCUCUCGCGUCAGGAUAUGCCUAGGUGGGAUUAGCUAGUUGGUGAGGUAAGGGCUCACCAAGGCRACGAUCCCUAGCUGGUCUGAGAGGAUGAUCAGCCACACUGGAACUGAGACACGGUCCAGACUCCUACGGGAGGCAGCAGUGGGGAAUAUUGCACAAUGGGCGCAAGCCUGAUGCAGCCAUGCCGCGUGUAUGAAGAAGGCCUUCGGGUUGUAAAGUACUUUCAGCAGUGAGGAAGGGGUGUGUGUUAAUAGCGCACAUCUUUGACGUUAGCUGCAGAAGAAGCACCGGCUAACUCCGUGCCAGCAGCCGCGGUAAUACGGAGGGUGCGAGCGUUAAUCGGAAUUACUGGGCGUAAAGCGCAUGCAGGUGGUUUGUUAAGUCAGAUGUGAAAGCCCGGGGCUCAACCUCSGAAUAGCAUUUGAACUGGCAGACUAGAGUACUGUAGAGGGGGGUAGAAUUUCMGGUGUAGCGGUGAAAUGCGUAGAGAUCUGAAGGAAUACCGGUGGCGAAGGCGGCCCCCUGGACAGAUACUGACACUCMGAUGCSAAAGCGUGGGGAGCAAACAGGAUUAGAUACCCUGGUAGUCCACGCCGUAAACGAUGUCUACUUGGAGGUUGUGGCCUUGAGCCGUGGCUUUCGGAGCUAACGCGUUAAGUAGACCGCCUGGGGAGUACGGUCGCAAGAUUAAAACUCAAAUGAAUUGACGGGGGCCCGCACAAGCGGUGGAGCAUGUGGUUUAAUUCGAUGCAACGCGAAGAACCUUACCUACUCUUGACAUCCAGAGAACUUUCCAGAGAUGGAUUGGUGCCUUCGGGAACUCUGAGACAGGUGCUGCAUGGCUGUCGUCAGCUCGUGUUGUGAAAUGUUGGGUUAAGUCCCGCAACGAGCGCAACCCUUAUCCUUGUUUGCCAGCGAGUAAUGUCGGGAACUCCAGGGAGACUGCCGGUGAUAAACCGGAGGAAGGUGGGGGACGACGUCAAGUCAUCAUGGGCCCUUACGAGUAGGGCUACACA
rnacentral:rRNA from 1 species